UUCCCCUCCCGUAACCCUACCUCCUCCUCUCCUCUGAGCCGCCGCCGCCGGUCCUCCUCCUCUCCUCUGCGCCGCCGCCGCCCGUCCUCCACCUCUCCUCUGCGCUGCCGCUGCCCGUCUUCCUCCUCUCCUCUGCGUCGCCGCCGCCCGUCCUCCUCCUCUCCUCUGCGCCGCCUCCCUCCGCCGCUCGUGCCGCCGCUUCCUUGUCGAGCUUGACGUCCUCAGGAGGAGAGGAAGCUGGCGCUGCUCUUCCCGAGGAACGCGCCGUUGCGCCAUCGAUAGGAGAAGGCCAGGCGGAGCGCGCCGUCGCCACCGGCUGGCGCGUCGACGGGAGGAGGCCAGGCGGGGUGCGCCGUUGCCACCGGCCGCGCCGUGGGUGACUCCUCUGCCACCUCACUUCUCCUCCUCAUCCUCUCCCCGUCACGGCGCAGCUCGGACAUGCCGCGGGUACAUAUCAAGAGGGGAUGGAGGAGCCGGACAUGGAUGUAGAGAAGGCGGCCAGACCCGAGUUCGUCCACCCCUGCUAUGCUAAAGUUGAUGACUAGCAGGAAUUGCAGCAUUGUAAAUCCGCUGAAUUGAUCAGAUAAUACGGAUGGACGAGGUCACACAAGCCGUUGAAAACUUGAAAAAGGAAUGGAGCCAAGCAGUUGCACAGCUUGAGGUGUGCAGUGCUGCAAUUGAAUCUUGUGGGAAGAUGGGAAAAGGGACAGAAGAAGCAAUGUCUCUUCCUGGUUGAACGGUUCUGCGCAGGAUGGACUGCAGUGCAGACUUGAUCUUCUGGCAGAGCAGCUACCCACUUUUGAAGAAGUUCAGUCUGGACAGGCAACCCUAGGCUCAUGGAAGGACCAAUAUCAGAGGCUGCGUGUGAGCCUGAGGAAUGCUAACUUACAAGCAAAAGCGAACAUUGGAAAGGCUGCUCAAGAAGAGAGGGAGCUUCUUCUGGGAGGUGGAGAAGAGUCCACUAUCCGGAGGCGUAAUCUCCAGUAGAGGGAGCUAGCUUGCCUGUAAUAUAAGGUGCUCUCACAAUCUAAUUUUGUAUUGUUGGUAUAUUUUCGGAAUAUUUGAGACGUUAGUUCUAGAAUGGGUUAUGGGUUUGAUGAUCUGUUAAGUUUCAUGGGGAUUUCCUGCAAGUGUAGAACUCGUGAAGGCCUCCAUAGGCUAUGAAUUAGUUCUAAUGGAACAAGUCUAUGUAUUCCAUCGCGUUUUCACAACAUGUAACUGAACAGUGGAUCAGGUGAUUGCAAGCAAUCUGCAGUGCUUAAAGUUCAGGAUGACCAUUUGGGGUGUACCAGGGUGGCCGGCCGAUGCAUGGAUGUGUCGCCAGUGCCCAGUUGCCGCCACACGUACAUGCAAGCAAAGUAGCCCACUUUAUCCUAUACAGCGUGUGUGGUCGCUCAACGUGCCAGGCGAGCACCCUAGCCUUGAAGUCUCACAGCCUAGGCACUGUAGCCUCUUGCGCAGGAGUGGCCAAGAGUGGACGCUUGCUUUGCUUUCUCUUCCGUUCCCGGCUGGCCAUAUUGAUUUGCUUUGCAACAAUGGCCAGUGUACUGUGUGGCCUCAGGGAGAAAAACACGACCGGCCGCCGGCCAGUGUACUGUGCUCACUAGUAGAAAAAGGGCUUUUAGUCUCGAUUCUGGAACCGGGACUAAAGGGGAGGCUUUAGUAACGACCCUUUAGUCCCGGUUCUUACACGAACCGGGACUAAAGGCCCUCCACGUGGCCGCUGCCUGGAGGUUCACC